AUUGAACGCUGGCGGCAUGCCUUACACAUGCAAGUCGAACGGCAGCACAAGGAGCUUGCUCCUGGGUGGCGAGUGGCGAACGGGUGAGUAAUGUAUCGGAACGUGCCCAGUAGUGGGGGAUAACUACUCGAAAGAGUGGCUAAUACCGCAUGAGAUCUCUGGAUGAAAGUGGGGGACCGUAAGGCCUCACGCUACUGGAGCGGCCGAUAUCAGAUAGUUGUGUGGGUAAGGCUACCAGCCUGCGAUCUGUAGCUGGUCUGAGAGGACGACCAGCCACACUGGGACUGAGACACGGCCCAGACUCCUACGGGAGGCAGCAGUGGGGAAUUUUGGACAAUGGGCGCAAGCCUGAUCCAGCAAUGCCGCGUGCAGGAUGAAGGCCUUCGGU
rnacentral:rRNA from 1 species